rnacentral:rRNA from 1 species
CCUACGGGGGGCUGCAGUGGGGAAUAUUGGACAAUGGGGGGAACCCUGAUCCAGCCAUGCCGCGUGUGUGAAGAAGGCCCUCGGGUUGUAAAGCACUUUCAGUGAGGAAGAACGCCUGGUGGUUAAUACCCAUCAGGAAAGACAUCACUCACAGAAGAAGCACCGGCUAACUCCGUGCCAGCAGCCGCGGUAAUACGGAGGGUGCGAGCGUUAAUCGGAAUUACUGGGCGUAAAGCGCGCGUAGGUGGCUUGAUAAGCCGGUUGUGAAAGCCCCGGGCUCAACCUGGGAACGGCAUCCGGAACUGUCAAGCUAGAGUGCAGGAGAGGAAGGUAGAAUUCCCGGUGUAGCGGUGAAAUGCGUAGAGAUCGGGAGGAUUACCAGUGGCGAAGGCGGCCUUCUGGACUGACACUGACACUGAGGUGCGAAAGCGUGGGUAGCAAACAGGAUUAGAUACCCUGGUAGUC